UGGAGGAUGAAGGUCUUCGGAUUGUAAACUCCUGUCAUUGGGGAACAACUGUCACACGUUAACUGCGUGGGGCUUGAUAGUACCCGAAGAGGAAGAGACGGCUAACUCUGUGCCAGCAGCCGCGGUAAUACAGAGGUCUCAAGCGUUGUUCGGAUUCAUUGGGCGUAAAGGGUGCGUAGGCGGCGGGGUAAGUCGGAUGUGAAAUCUCAGGGCUCAACCCUGAAACUGCAUUCGAUACUGCCUUGCUCGAGGACUCGAGAGGAGAUUGGAAUUCACGGUGUAGCAGUGAAAUGCGUAGAUAUCGUGAGGAAGACCAGUGGCGAAGGCGGAUCUCUGGAGAGUUCCUGACGCUGAGGCACGAAGGCCAGGGGAGCAAACGGGAUUAGAUACCCCGGUAGUCCUGGCAGUAAACGGUGCACGUUUGGUGUGGGAGGAUUCGACCCCUUCCGUGCCGGAGCUAACGCGUUAAACGUGCCGCCUGGGGAGUACGGUCGCAAGAUUAAAACUCAAAGGAAUUGACGG
rnacentral:rRNA from 1 species